rnacentral:rRNA from 1 species
CAGUAGCCACGGUAAUACAGAGGGUGCAAGCGUUAAUCGGAAUUACUGGGCGUAAAGCGCGCGUAGGUGGUUUGUUAAGUUGGAUGUGAAAGCCCCGGGCUCAACCUGGGAACUGCAUCCAAAACUGGCAAGCUAGAGUACGGUAGAGGGUGGUGGAAUUUCCUGUGUAGCGGUGAAAUGCGUAGAGAUCGGGAGGAACAUCAGUGGCGAAGGCGGCCAUCUGGGACAACACUGACGCUGAGGCACGAAAGCGUGGGGAGCAAACAGGAUUAGAUACCCCUGUAGUCCCUGUCUCUUAUAA